rnacentral:rRNA from 1 species
UAGGGAAUCUUCCGCAAUGGACGCAAGUCUGACGGAGCAACGCCGCGUGAGUGAAGAAGGAUUUCGGUUCGUAAAACUCUGUUGUUAGAGAAGAACAGCGCAUAGAGUAACUGUUAUGCGUGUGACGGUAUCUAACCAGAAAGCCACGGCUAACUACGUGCCAGCAGCCGCGGUAAUACGUAGGUGGCAAGCGUUGUCCGGAUUUAUUGGGCGUAAAGCGAGCGCAGGCGGUCAAUUAAGUCUGAUGUAAAAGCCCACGGCUCAACCGUGGAGGGUCAUUGGAAACUGGAAGACUUGAGUGCAGAAGAGGAAAGUGGAAUUCCGUGUGUAGCGGUAAAAUGCGCAGGGAUAAGGAAGAACACCAGUGGCGAAAGCGACUUUCUGGUCUGUAACUGACGCUGAUGUGCGAAAGCGUGGGGAUCAAACAGG